rnacentral:rRNA from 1 species
AGAGUUUGAUCAUGGCUCAGAUUGAACGCUGGCGGCAGGCCUAACACAUGCAAGUCGAGCGGAUGAAGGGAGCUUGCUCCUGGAUUCAGCGGCGGACGGGUGAGUAACGCCUAGGAAUCUGCCUGGUAGUGGGGGAUAACGUCCGGAAACGGGCGCUAAUACCGCAUACGUCCUGAGGGAGAAAGUGGGGGAUCUUCGGACCUCACGCUAACAGAUGAGCCUAGGUCGGAUUAGCUAGUUGGUGGGGUAAAGGCCUACCAAGGCGACGAUCCGUAACUGGUCUGAGAGGAUGAUCAGUCACACUGGAACUGAGACACGGUCCAGACUCCUACGGGAGGCAGCUGUGGGGAAUAUUGGACAAUGGGCGAAAGCCUGAUCCAGCCAUGCCGCGUGUGUGAAGAAGGUCUUCGGAUUGUAAAGCACUUUAAGUUGGGAGGAAGGGCAGUAAGUUAAUACCUUGCUGUUUUGACGUUACCAACAGAAUAAGCACCGGCUAACUUCGUGCCAGCAGCCGCGGUAAUACGAAGGGUGCAAGCGUUAAUCGGAAUUACUGGGCGUAAAGCGCGCGUAGGUGGUUCAGCAAGUUGGAUGUGAAAUCCCCGGGCUCAACCUGGGAACUGCAUCCAAAACUACUGAGCUAGAGUACGGUAGAGGGUGGUGGAAUUUCCUGUGUAGCGGUGAAAUGCGUAGAUAUAGGAAGGAACACCAGUGGCGAAGGCGACCACCUGGACUGAUACUGACACUGAGGUGCGAAAGCGUGGGGAGCAAACAGGAUUAGAUACCUUGGUAGUCCACGCCGUAAACGAUGUCGACUAGCCGUUGGGAUCCUUGAGAUCUUAGUGGCGCAGCUAACGCGAUAAGUCGACCGCCUGGGGAGUACGGCCGCAAGGUUAAAACUCAAAUGAAUUGACGGGGGCCCGCACAAGCGGUGGAGCAUGUGGUUUAACUCGAAGCAACGCGAAGAACCUUACCUGGCCUUGACAUGCUGAGAACUUUCCAGAGAUGGAUUGGUGCCUUCGGGAACUCAGACACAGGUGCUGCAUGGCUGUCGUCAGCUCGUGUCGUGAGAUGUUGGGUUAAGUCCCGUAACGAGCGCAACCCUUGUCCUUAGUUACCAGCACCUCGGGUGGGCACUCUAAGGAGACUGCCGGUGACAAACCGGAGGAAGGUGGGGAUGACGUCAAGUCAUCAUGGCCCUUACGGCCAGGGCUACACACGUGCUACAAUGGUCGGUACAAAGGGUUGCCAAGCCGCGAGGUGGAGCUAAUCCCAUAAAACCGAUCGUAGUCCGGAUCGCAGUCUGCAACUCGACUGCGUGAAGUCGGAAUCGCUAGUAAUCGUGAAUCAGAAUGUCACGGUGAAUACGUUCCCGGGCCUUGUACA